UUAAACGCAAUGAAGAGAAGAGUACAUGGGAAUACAGUUUACAGAGAGUCUGAUUAGGUGAAAGCAGACAACAGGUUGAACUAUGGAAGAUGGACUUGGAGCGGCAUGGGCGAGCAUAAAGUAAACCUGUGACGGAUACACCCGUUAAAGUGAAAUGAGAUUUGGAUAUAGUUUUGUUAGUGGAUUAAGAAUAGUAUUUGAAUACAGUAAUUAAUGAUACUAAUAUCUGAAUAAAGUAAAGUGGUACCACGAAGUUAAAGCACUCUCGUCUUUGCA
rnacentral:ncRNA from 1 species